AGAGUUUGAUCCUGGCUCAGAACGAACGCUGGCGGCAGGCCUAACACAUGCAAGUCGAACGCCCCGCAAGGGGAGUGGCAGACGGGUGAGUAACACGUGGGAACCUUCCCUAUAGUACGGAAUAGCCCAGGGAAACUUGGAGUAAUACCGUAUACGCCCGAAAGGGGAAAGAUUUAUCGCUAUAGGAUGGGCCCGCGUAGGAUUAGCUAGUUGGUGAGGUAAUGGCUCACCAAGGCGACGAUCCUUAGCUGGUUUGAGAGAACGACCAGCCACACUGGGACUGAGACACGGCCCAGACUCCUACGGGAGGCAGCAGUGGGGAAUAUUGGACAAUGGGCGCAAGCCUGAUCCAGCCAUGCCGCGUGAGUGAUGAAGGCCUUAGGGUUGUAAAGCUCUUUUGCCGGGGACGAUAAUGACGUCCCCGAGAAUAAUCCC
rnacentral:rRNA from 1 species